rnacentral:rRNA from 1 species
GACGAACGCUGGCGGCGUGCUUAACACAUGCAAGUCGAACGGAAAGGCUCCAGCUUGCUGGAGUACUCGAGUGGCGAACGGGUGAGUAACACGUGGGUAAUCUGCCCUGCACUCUGGGAUAAGCCUGGGAAACUGGGUCUAAUACUGGAUAUGACCUUCCGCUUCAUGGGGUUGGGUGGAAAGUUUUUCGGUUUGGGAAGGGCCCGCGGCCUAUCAGCUUGUUGGUGGGGUUAUGGCCUACCAAGGGGAGGACGGGGAGCCGGCCUGAGAGGGUGAUCGGCCACAUUGGGACUGAGAUACGGCCCAGACUCCUACGGGAGGCAGCAGUGGGGAAUAUUGCACAAUGGGCGGAAGCCUGAUGCAGCGACGCCGCGUGAGGGAUGACGGCCUUCGGGUUGUAAACCUCUUUCAGCAGGGACGAAGCGUAAGUGACGGUACCUGCAAAAGAAGCACCGGCUAACUAUGUG